AAAAAAAAAAAAAAAGGAAAUUAACCAUUGGGUCAAGAGUAACUGGUAUUAAUUUUUGAAUAAUUCAUAACUUUUAGCAUUUUGAGUUUAUGUUCUGGAAUAUGCAUGGACAAUGAUACGAGGGACAGCAAAAUGUAGUAACUUUAUGCAUCCGCCUGAGCACACACAUUUAUAUAGUGCAUCAUGUUGAUAUUCAUCAAGUAAAGGUUUAAUAGUUGUGUAGUAGAUUGAAGUUUUUUUUCUAGUUGAUGUGCAUCCUUAUUAAUACUAACAUUUUUGUGGCAUGUACUGUGACGUUAAUCAAGAUUUGAUUCCCAAUACUUGUAUUUGAUGGCUGCUUCCUAUGUAAAUAUUUAUGAACCAAAGUACCAGAGCAAUUAUUUAUUUGGUUGGAGAUUUUGUACUAGUUGUGUGCUGUGUUAUAUUCUUAAUGAACUUAAAUCAUGAUAUUAGCCAGGCAAUAUUUCCAAGUAGAGUUUAGCCUUGCUGAGUUGUUAUUAGUGAAAAGUUGCUGUUGUCAAAUUGACAUCCUGUUUACACUAGGCAAUAUAUUGUUCUUACAAAGAGCUGCUUUCUUGUAUCUGGAAUGAAUGUAGAGAUAUGAUUUCACUAGGACCAUUCAAUUGCCUAUCCACAUACUUCAGGAUGUUUUAUAGACCGUAUGUAACAUGGGUUUGACAACCUUCUGACUGCCAAAACUUUUCACUAUUAAGUUUCAGCAGACACUAUCCUUGUGAAUCUGGAUUUUAGUGAACCAUUGUCCAUCAGUAUCAAUUUAUUGAUUCAUAUCCAUGUGUCGGAUUUGUAUCAACUGACUUAUCUGCCUUUAAAUCAUUUGGUUUUUUCUUUAUUUUGUUAGCUUUUACAUUGCAAUGCGGAAUCACUACUUGGUAUGUUGGUUGUUUCACUUGGGACCUGCUUAUUGAUUCUGAUAAAACAUUUCUGGAUCAGUUUCUUUGCGCACAAUGUUUGGAUGAUGAGCUACUGCUGCUAAUGUGUGUUCCUAGUAGUGUAUUUUUA
rnacentral:misc_RNA from 1 species